GCCCUUGUGGUGGAACAGUAGACACGCUGCUCUUAGAAAGCAGUGCUUAUGGCGUGAAGGUGCGAAUCCUUUCAGGGGUACAA
rnacentral:tRNA from 1 species